AACACAGAAACAUGAGCAUGAGAGAGUAUGCCUUAAAGUUCACUCAAUGGUCAAAAUAUGCUCCAUUCAUGAUUGCCUACUCUAAAGCUUGUAUGAGCAAGUUUGUUUCGGGUGUUUCAAACUUUGUGGUCAAAGAGUGUAGAACCGUCAUGUAGAUUAAAGAGAUGGAAAUCUCAAGGUUGAUAACACAUGCCGAGCAGAUAGAGGAGGAAAAGCUUAAAUAGAGAGCUAGAGAGUCAAAGAGGGUAAGGACCGAUGGUGGUGACUUUUCACAUGGGAGGUCCAAAUAUGGGAUUGAGGUUGAAGAUCAUAUUCGUCCACGUGGCUAGUUAAGCUUUCCUAUUUGGUGGUGUUUGUGGGGUUGAAGUUGAAGAUCAUAUUCUUCCACCUGGCUAGGUGUAUAUGUGCUUAUACAAGCUAAGAGGAACUGUUUGACGAAGUGGAUUUUGGUUAGUCUAUGGCGAAGAGGAAUUGAGCUCCUCGAGUUGUGGUAGAACCUGUUGUAUGCUAAAACGCCAAGGGUCUGACGAUCAUCACACUUAUCCUUUCGCUCGUGGCUAGAUAUUUAGUACUACUUCUAUUGUUGGGACCGGUGCUCUUCCUCAUUCUCCUCCAACUGGCUAGCUCGGAUUAACUUGAAGGUUACUUGUGGUGAGUUCCCAUAUUUCGGGAACAACAUCCCUUUUAUUCUAGUUAUGCAAAACAUUAAGACUUCUAUUAUGACAUUUCUUGAGACUUGUUUUGAGGGUGAGCUAGGGAUAUGUCUUAGCCCCCGCCAAGUCUAUUAGUAGAGGUAUGUUUGGAAAAAAAUGUAUAAUGA